UAUGUCCCCUAUUUUAGUCCUCUCUGUCAUGUUCGCGUGCACAACCUAUUUUGCCAAUGAGCAAGUUUAGCAUCUGUUUGUUCUUCCAUGAUCUUAUGCUGGUUGCCUGGUUCUCAUUGUCGUCCUAGCUGUCUAGUUAGUAAGCAGAACUCUGUUAGAGUAAAGCUAGCUGGGACAUCUGUUUCAGUAUUGUUACCCAACAGACUUAGGCCUAGAUUUAUUAGUUGUAAAUUCAUUAGCUCCAUGUAUCGCAUUAGUUUCGAUGCAAAACACAAGCUGCAAUGUGCCAACUCUUGUCGACAUGUCUAUAUCAGUAUAAAAAUGGUACAUGGUGUUCCUGAUGCUAUUCCUUCUUAUUUUCUGCAGGAGAGGCUGGCAUUUGACAAUAUGGUUCUGUGUGUGCAUUGACUGCUGGUGCUGCAGCCUGAAAUUUUUCUUGUGGAGUGGACUGAAGUAAUCCAUCAAACUAGCUGCAUUAUUGAUUCUGUUCUUUUUGCUGGCGAGUGUGAAACAUCCCCAGUUAAAAUUGGGAAUUCUUGCGACGUCUUCAACAAGGACGAAAUAUUUGGAGUCGACAUAAUCUUGUACCGUGGGUGCUAAAAUAAUGCCAAUAGCAUACAAAACAAACCGCCUGAUGAAAUGAUCAUCUGGAGUUUUGGAGGCUUUAAUUUUGUCCUCGAGGUCACUCAGCUUAAGUCUUCCAUCUGUUUGAUAAGCCCUUAACAGCUCUUCGCUAGCAGCACCAACAUAAUACGUCGGAGAGACACUGACUUCAUCUCUGUUAGCCCUCCAAGACCGGUUUGAGUGCAGAUGGCCUUUAGGUGCUCGUCAUCUAAUCCAUCAAUCAUUUGCGCGAACCUUAUCGGUGGAUGAAGAGGAAGCAGUACCGUCGUAUCGCACAGGCCAGGUGGGUGGUGGCCGCUGGCUCCGAUCCCCUGGGUGGUUGGGUGUGGCUGGCGGCUCCAAUCGCCCCGGUCAGGAGGGCGGCGUUGGCGUUCGAGCUGAAUGCGUGAAGUGUCCACGGAGAGAGUUCGACGCCGGCGACGAGCAUAGAGAGGCGGAUCACGAUGCUGUGGACGGAGCAAAAUUCAGAGAAAACCCAUAAGAUCUCAUGAUGGCUUCAUGCACAGAAACAAGCAGUGACGUCGUAUUCCGCAGGCCGGAUGGGCGGUCGCCGGCGGCUCCGUUCCCGUGGGUGAGGACGGCGGCUCCGUUACAGCCGGUGAACAGGGCGGCGGCGAUGGGACUGGCGUUGGAGGAGAAGGUCGCGUGUGAGAAGGCGGCUGGAAUGCAAUGUGAGUGGAGAAUCGAGUUGCAGCCGGCUAGGCCAGUUGGAUUGGAGGUUGUUGCAGAUA